rnacentral:rRNA from 1 species
AGUGAACGCUGGCGGUAGGCCUAACACAUGCAAGUCGAACGGCAGCACAGUAAGAGCUUGCUCUUACGGGUGGCGAGUGGCGGACGGGUGAGGAAUACAUCGGAAUCUACAUUUUCGUGGGGGAUAACGUAGGGAAACUUACGCUAAUACCGCAUACGACCUACGGGUGAAAGCAGGGGAUCUUCGCACCUUGCGCGACUGAAUGAGCCGAUGUCGGAUUAGCUAGUUGGCGAGGUAAAGGCCCACCAAGGCGACGAUCCGUAGCUGGUCUGAGAGGAUGAUCAGCCACACUGGAACUGAGACACGGUCCAGACUCCUACGGGAGGCAGCAGUGGGGAAUAUUGGACAAUGGGCGCAAGCCUGAUCCAGCCAUACCGCGUGGGUGAAGAAGGCCUUCGGGUUGUAAAGCCCUUUUGUUGGGAAAGAAAAGCAGCAGGUUAAUACCCCGCUGUUCUGACGGUACCCAAAGAAUAAGCACCGGCUAACUUCGUG